rnacentral:rRNA from 1 species
AGCGAACGCUGGCGGCAGGCCUAACACAUGCAAGUCGAGCGCCCCGCAAGGGGAGCGGCAGACGGGAGAGUAACGCGUGGGAACGUGCCCUUUGGUUCGGAACAACCCAGGGAAACUUGGGCUAAUACCGGAUAAGCCCUCACGGGGAAAGACUUAUCGCCGGAGGAUCGGCCCGCGUCUGAUUAGCUAGUUGGUGGGGGAAUGGCCCACCAAGGCGACGAUCAGUAGCUGGUCUGGGAGGAUGAACAGCCUCACUGGGACUGAGAAACGGCCCAGACUCCUACGGGAGGCAGCAGUGGUGUAUAUUCCACAAUGGGGGAAACCCUGAUGGAGCAAUGCCGCGUGCAGGAAGACGCGUUUCGGCGUGUAAACUGCUUUUAAACGGGAAGAUUAUGACGGUACCGUUAGAAUAAGGACCGGCUAAUUACGUGCCAGCAGCCGCCGUAACAC